CUUGACAUCCAGAGAAUUUAGCAGAGAUGCUUUAGUGCCUUCGGGAACUCUGAGACAGGUGCUGCAUGGCUGUCGUCAGCUCGUGUUGUGAAAUGGUUGGGUUAACGUCCGCAACGAGCGCAACCCUUAUCCUUUGUUGCCAGCACGUAGUGGUGGGAACUCAAAGGAGACUGCCGGUGAUAAACCGGAGGAAGGUGGGGAUGACGUCAAGUCAUCAUGGCCCUUACGAGUAGGGCUACACACGUGCUACAAUGGCGCAUACAAAGAGAAGCGACCUCGCGAGAGCAAGCGGACCUCAUAAAGUGCGUCGUAGUCCGGAUUGGAGUCUGCAACUCUACUCCAUAAAGUCGGAAUCGCUAGUAAUCGUAAAUCAGAAUGUUACGGUGAAUACGUUCCCGGGCCUUGUACACACCGCCCGUCACACCAUGGGAGUGGGUUGCAAAAGAAGUAGAUAGCUUAACCUUCGGGAGGGCGUUUACCACUUUGUGAUUCAUGACUGGGGUGAAGUCGUAACAAGGUAAGCGUAGUGCU
rnacentral:rRNA from 1 species